rnacentral:rRNA from 1 species
CAAAGAGAAGCGAAGCGGUGACGUGGAGCAAACCUCAGAAAGCCAAUCUCAGUUCGGAUUGUAGGCUGCAACUCGCCUACAUGAAGUUGGAAUCGCUAGUAAUCGCGAAUCAGAAUGUCGCGGUGAAUACGUUCCCGGGUCUUGUACACACCGCCCGUCACACCACGAGAGUUUACAACACCCGAAGUCAGUGGCCUAACCGCAAGGAGGGAGCUGCCUAAGGUGGGGUAGAUGAUUGGGGUGAAGUCGUAACAAGGUAAC